ACAGCCACAUCAUGUUGAAACACUGGUUACCCUCUGAUCACUAAAGUUAAGCAACAUCAAACCUGGUCAGUACCAAGAUGGGUGACUACUUGAGAAUACCAGAUGUUGAAA